rnacentral:rRNA from 1 species
CUUUCUUUGCUGGCGACCGGCGCACGGGUGAGUAACACGUAUCCAACCGCCCUUUACUCGGGUAUAGCCUUUCGAAAGAAAGAUUAAUACCCGAUAGCAUAAUGAUUCCGCAUGGUUUCAUUAUUAAAGGAUUCCGGUAAAGGAUGGGGAUGCGUUCCAUUAGGUUGUUGGUGAGGUAACGGCUCACCAAGCCUUCGAUGGAUAGGGGUUCUGAGAGGAAGGUCCCCCACAUUGGAACUGAGACACGGUCCAA